rnacentral:rRNA from 1 species
UACAGAGGGUGCGAGCGUUAAUCGGAAUUACUGGGCGUAAAGCGUGCGUAGACGGCUAUCUAAGUCGGGUGUGAAAGCCCCGGGCUCAACCUGGGAAUUGCAUUCGAGACUGAAUAGCUAGGGUACGGUAGAGGGAAGCGGAAUUUCCGGUGUAGCGGUGAAAUGCGUAGAUAUCGGAAGGAACAUCAGUGGCGAAAGCGGCUUCCUGGACCAGUACCGACGUUCAGGCACGAAAGCCGUGGGGAGCAAACAGG